rnacentral:rRNA from 1 species
CAGGCCUAACACAUGCAAGUCGAACGAGAAAGUUCCCUUCGGGGGAUUAGUAAAGUGGCGCACGGGUGAGUAACGCGUGGGUAAUUUACCUUUGAGCUUGGGAUAACUUCGGGAAACCGGGGCUAAUACCGGAUAAGACUACAUACUACAAGGCGUGUAGUAAAAGCUUGCCUCUGACGCAAGCAAGCACUCAAAGAUAAGCCCGCGUCUCAUUAGCUUGUUGGUAGGGUAAUGGCCUACCAAGGCUUUGAUGGGUAGCCGGCUUGAGAGGGUGAACGGCCACAUUGGCACUGGAACACGGGCCAGACUCCUACGGGAGGCAGCAGUGAGGAAUAUUGCGCAAUGGGCGAAAGCCUGACGCAGCAACGCCGCGUGAGUGAUGAAGGCCUUCGGGUUGUAAAGCUCUGUCAGCGGGGACGAAUCCCCUUCCGGGCAAAUAGUUCGGAAGACUGACGGUACCCGCAAAGGAAGCCCCGGCUAACUUCGUGCCAGCAGCCGCGGUAAU